rnacentral:rRNA from 1 species
AACGAACGCUGGCGGCAGGCUUAACACAUGCAAGUCGAGCGCCCAGCAAUGGGAGCGGCGGACGGGUGAGUAACACGUGGGAACAUGCCUUUCGGUACGGAACAACGCAGGGAAACUUGCGCUAAUACCGUAUGCGCCGGAAACGGGAAAGAUUUAUCGCCGAAAGAUUGGCCCGCGUCUGAUUAGCUUGUUGGUGAGGUAACGGCUCACCAAGGCUUCGAUCAGUAGCUGGUUUGAGAGAGCGACCAGCCACACUGGGACUGAGACACGGCCCAGACUCCUACGGGAGGCAGCAGUGGGGAAUCUUGGACAAUGGGGGAAACCCUGAUCCAGCCAUGCCGCGUGAGUGAUGAAGGCCCUAGGGUUGUAAAACUCUUUCGGCGGGGACGAUAAUGACGGUACCCGCAGAAGAAGCUCCGGCUAACUUCGUGCCAGCAGCCGCCGCCG